rnacentral:rRNA from 1 species
GCCAUCAUUCAGUUGGGCAUCUAGCGAGACUGCCGGUAAUAAACCGGAGGAAGGUGGGGAUGACGUCAAAUCAUCAUGCCCCUUAUGACCUGGGCUACACACGUGCUACAAUGGUUGGUACAACGAGUUGCGAGUCGGUGACGGCGAGCUAAUCUCUUAAAGCCAAUCUCAGUUCGGAUUGUAGGCUGCAACUCGCCUACAUGAAGUCGGAAUCGCUAGUAAUCGCGGAUCAGCACGCCGCGGUGAAUACGUUCCCGGGCCUU